rnacentral:rRNA from 1 species
GACGAACGCGGCGGCGUGCUUAACACAUGCAAGUCGAACGAAAAGACGGAAAGAGCUUGCUCUUUUCAGAAUUGAGUGGCAAACGGGUGAGUAACACGUAAACAACCUGCCUUCAGGAUGGGGACAACAGACGGAAACGACUGCUAAUACCGAAUAAGUUCCAAGAGCCGCAUGGCCCAUGGAAGAAAAGGUGGCCUCUACCUGUAAGCUAUCGCCUGAAGAGGGGUUUGCGUCUGAUUAGCUGGUUGGAGGGGUAACGGCCCACCAAGGCGACGAUCAGUAGCCGGUCUGAGAGGAUGAACGGCCACACUGGAACUGAGACACGGUCCAGACUCCUACGGGAGGCAGCAGUGGGGAAUCUUCCGCAAUGGGCGAAAGCCUGACGGAGCAACGCCGCGUGAGUGAUGACGGCCUUCGGGUUGUAAAACUCUGUGAUCCGGGACGAAAAGGCAGAGUGCGAAGAACAAACUGCAUUGACGGUACCGGAAAAGC